ensembl:lncRNA
UUACAAUUAAUUUUCAUUACCGACUAUAAUGAGCAGUACCUACAAUCCAUUUUUUCUGCAGAAUUUUAUGUUUUUAAGAGGCUGAAAAACACAUUCAUGCCUAUGGAAUAGUGUGACGUCAUCACCAUCAGAGGGACCGUCUACAAAUUACAUGAUUCUUUUAUGGUGCAGAAACUUGAGGCUGUCGGAUACAAGCCAAUUUUAUUUAUUGGGAAACAGGACAAAAGGGCUUCAAAUAAGUGGGUGGCAGAUAUUAUCACACAUCUGCACCCCACUCCUGUCACCAAAUUUUUUUUGGAGAAGAUGCGGACGGCUUAUGAGUAUCUUAACAAAAGCAACCUCCACAGCACAGCAGCCGGAGAGCGUCACCGCGGAGCAGCCGGAGAGCCUCACCAAGCAGUCUGAAACUGUAUUUGUUCUCAAUCUUGUUCCUGUGUCUUUCUCACUCUCUCCAACCUCUCUCUCCUCCUUCCUCUGCUACUUCUACAACUGUUCUUCCUUCACUUUCUUCCCCUCCUCCACCUCCACUGCGGCAGAGGAAAAGAAGGUUAAACACCUUUACCGCGUCACACUCUACCACCCCUGUCUCUCCUCCAUAUCCAUCUGCCUCUUCCAUUUCCAAGCCUUUGAGUCAGGAGGUGCCACUGGUUAAGAACAGAAGAAAAGGUUGUCGAAAAUGUAGUAGGCAGAAGGUUUUCCUUUUUGAUAAAAUAACUGGGGAACGAAUAAAUGAGGGGAAAGCUGAAUUGAAAGUUCACUGGUUGCCUUGCACUGAGUGUGGCAAAACCUGGGAUGACACGUGGGAGCCUGCGAGUGAAUUCCAACACAUUGUGCCAAAGCAUUGUCCCAACCAGCUUUCAGCAUGACAACAGUCACCAUAAACACCUGGACUCAUCAAGCACCCUUCAAUGCAGUUUAUUUUUGAGUGUUUUUGCUUGCUGUUCUUCAGUAAAGUUUUUGCACAGUACCCAGUCUCUUUUAGUGUUUAGUUUCUUACAGUUGUCAUCUUAAAAACUUUUUGCAUUUGUCUUGAACUGCUUAACAGUGUGCCUUGUGAGAUCAUAAGUUUGUUGUCCAUGAGCAUAAGCUCAUAAAUACCAAAAAAUAU